UGCCCGUUGGGGGCGCGCGCGGCGACGCGUUCCGAAGGCGGGGAGGGAGGAAGAGACGUUAGCAGCGGAGCGGGAGAAAGCUGCUGCUUUGGUCACGCAGAGGGCUUGGCUCUGGCCACUGCAGAGAGAUCUUCUCUCCCUCGGCAUCUUCAUCUCUCCCUUUCUGUCUUGCCUCAGAUUCUUGUAAAAUGACCACCGAGAGACGCUUUCUUCCAUAACUUCCAGCUUCUUACAGAAUCCCUUGCUCAGCCUCAACGAGUUGACCAAGUGUUCCCUGGCAGACCAACACAGCUACCAAGUACACCCCUGAAACAUGGAAGAUGCCAAAUUUUAGCCAUUUUUGGAUUUUAAACUUAAUUGCAGAACAACAAGGAAGCUUUUUUUAACCUCUCUGCCUGCCAUCUAACACCUCCAGGGAAGGAAUUCUACCUGAUCAACACAUCAAAGAGGUACUCAACACAGCUGACAAAGACACUCUCAUGGACCCAGAGGGACAGCCUUCCAUCUUCAGCUCCCUCUAUGCAAAAAUGAAGUUUAUUUCCUACCUAUGAGGACUUUUUACCAUCUUGUACCAUCUACACUUUUCCCAGAGCCUGACAAAGGGACUUUUAUCCCAAAAGCUUGCAGAAAAGGACAGUUUUCUUGCCGUUUUCCAGUUGGUCUAAUAAAAGGUAUCAUUUUGGAA